rnacentral:rRNA from 1 species
AGAGUUUGAUCCUGGCUCAGAUUGAACGCUGGCGGCAUGCCUUACACAUGCAAGUCGAACGGCAGCGCGGGGCAACCUGGCGGCGAGUGGCGAACGGGUGAGUAAUAUAUCGGAACGUACCCUGGAGUGGGGGAUAACGUAGCGAAAGUUACGCUAAUACCGCAUACGAUCUAAGGAUGAAAGUGGGGGAUCGCAAGACCUCAUGCUCCUGGAGCGGCCGAUAUCUGAUUAGCUAGUUGGCGGGGUAAAAGCCCACCAAGGCAACGAUCAGUAGCUGGUCUGAGAGGACGACCAGCCACACUGGAACUGAGACACGGUCCAGACUCCUACGGGAGGCAGCAGUGGGGAAUUUUGGACAAUGGGCGCAAGCCUGAUCCAGCAAUGCCGCGUGAGUGAAGAAGGCCUUCGGG